GUGCAAUGGCAUAAGCCAGCUUGACUGCGAGCGUGACGGCGCGAGCAGGUGCGAAAGCAGGUCAUAGUGAUCCGGUGGUUCUGAAUGGAAGGGCCAUCGCUCAACGGAUAAAAGGUACUCCGGGGAUAACAGGCUGAUACCGCCCAAGAGUUCAUAUCGACGGCGGUGUUUGGCACCUCGAUGUCGGCUCAUCACAUCCUGGGGCUGAAGUAGGUCCCAAGGGUAUGGCUGUUCGCCAUUUAAAGUGGUACGCGAGCUGGGUUUAGAACGUCGUGAGACAGUUCGGUCCCUAUCUGCCGUGGGCGCUGGAGAACUGAGGGGGGCUGCUCCUAGUACGAGAGGACCGGAGUGGACGCAUCACUGGUGUUCGGGUUGUCAUGCCAAUGGCACUGCCCGGUAGCUAAAUGCGGAAGAGAUAAGUGCUGAAAGCAUCUAAGCACGAAACUUGCCCCGAGAUGAGUUCUCCCUGAGACUUAGAGUAUCCUGAAGGAACGUUGAAGACGACGACGUUGAUAGGCCGGGUGUGUAAGCGCAGCGAUGCGUUGAGCUAACCGGUACUAAUGAACCGUGAGGCUUAACCUUACAACGCCGAAG
rnacentral:rRNA from 1 species